AAGGAUUCCCCUAGUAACGGCGAGUGAAGCGGGAUGAGCUCAAAUUUAAAAGCUGGCAGUAAUGUCCGCGUUGUAAUCUCGAGAAAUGUUUUCCGCGCUGGACCACGUACAAGUUCCUUGGAAUAGGAUGUCAUAGAGGGUGAAAAUCCCGUACUUGAUGUGGACGCCCAGUGCUUUGUGAUACAUUUUCGAAGAGUCGAGUUGUUUGGGAAUGCAGCUCAAAAUGGGUGGUAAAUUCCAUCUAAAGCUAAAUAUUGGGGAGAGACCGAUAGCGAACAAGUACCGUGAGGGAAAGAUGAAAAGCACUUUGGAAAGAGAGUUAAACAGUACGUGAAAUUGUCAAAAGGGAAGCAUUUGAAGUCAGAUAUGUAUUGUAGUAUUCAGCCUUGCUUUUGCUUGGUGUAUUUGCUGUAGUACAGGCCAACAUCAGUUUUGAGUGACGGAUAAGGGUAGAGGGAAUGUGGCACCUUCGGGUGUGUUAUAGCCCUUUACUGGAUACGUCGUUUGGGACUGAGGAACGCAGCGCGCCGCAAGGCAGACCCUCGGGUACUUUCGCGCUUAGGAUGUUGGCGUAAU
rnacentral:rRNA from 1 species